CUGCUAACUUCCUUAAUAAACCCCGUAAAUUCUGAUGUGCCAGAGGAAUCAUUGGAGGUAAAUUAGCAGGGUGGCUACUCGAGCCAUCGCUGUCAGUCACCUCCACACAUUG
rnacentral:snoRNA from 1 species